GACGAACGCUGGCGGCGUGCUUAACACAUGCAAGUCGAGCGAGGCCCCUCCUUCGGGAGGGUGUCCUAGCGGCGAACGGGUGAGUAACACGUGGGCAACCUGCCCCCGGCUCUGGGAUACCUCCAAGAAAUUGGGGCUAAUACCGGAUAUGACCGCUGACCGCAUGGUCUGGUGGUGGAAAGAUGUAUCGGCUGGGGAUGGGCCCGCGGCCUAUCAGCUUGUUGGUGGGGUAGUGGCCUACCAAGGCGCCGACGGGUAGCCGGCCUGAGAGGGUGACCGGCCACACUGGGACUGAGACACGGCCCAGACUCCUACGGGAGGCAGCAGUGGGGAAUAUUGCGCAAUGGGCGGAAGCCUGACGCAGCGACGCCGCGUGGGGGAUGACGGCCUUCGGGUUGUAAACCUCUUUCAGCAGGGACGAAGCGAAAGUGACGGUACCUGCAGAAGAAGCACCGGUCAACUACGUGCCAGCCGCCGCCGUAA
rnacentral:rRNA from 1 species